UACGGAGGGUGCAAGCGUUGUCCGGAAUCACUGGGCGUAAAGGGCGCGUAGGCGGCUCAUGAAGGCUGUGGUGAAAGUCCGGGGCUCAACCUCGGAUCGGCCGUGGCGACUCGUGGGCUGGAGCACUGUAGAGGCGGGUGGAAUUCCGGGUGUAGCGGUGGAAUGCGUAGAGAUCCGGAAGAACACCAGUGGCGAAGGCGGCCCGCUGGGCAGUGGCUGACGCUGAGGCGCGACAGCGUGGGGGGCAAACAGGG
rnacentral:rRNA from 1 species